AUUAACGCUGGCGGCAUGUCUAAGGCAUGCAAGUCGAACGAAUUGUUUUUCUUCGGAAGUUCAGUUAGUGGCAAACGGGAGCGUAACACAUUGGUAACUCACCCCGAGCUCGUGAACAACUUAUGGAAACGUAAGCUAAUACACGAUAUUGAUGAGGGGACUUCGGUCAUUCUCAUUGAAAGCUCCGGCGGCACGGGAGAGGCCUAUGCACUAUCAGCUAGUUGGAGAGGUAACGGCUCACCAAGGCUAUGACGGUUACCGGGCGCGAGAGCGUGGCCCGGCUCACUGGGACUGAGACACUGCCCAGACACCUACGGGUGGCUGCAGUCAAGAAUCUUCCUCAAUGGACGAAAGUCUGAAGGAGCAAUGCCGCGUGCAGGAUGAAGGCCUUCGGGUCGUAAACUGCUUUUAUUUGGGACGAACAAAUGACGGUACCAAAUGAAUAAGGGGUUGCUAACUCUGU
rnacentral:rRNA from 1 species